rnacentral:rRNA from 1 species
GUGAGGAAUAUUGGUCAAUGGGCGGGAGCCUGAACCAGCCAAGUCGCGUGAAGGAAGAAGGAUCUAUGGUUCGUAAACUUCUUUUGCAGGGGAAUAAAGUGCAGGACGUGUCCUGUUUUGUAUGUACCCUGAGAAUAAGGAUCGGCUAACUCCGUGCCAGCAGCCGCGGUAAUACGGAGGAUCCGAGCGUUAUCCGGAUUUAUUGGGUUUAAAGGGUGCGUAGGUGGUUUGAUAAGUCAGCGGUGAAAGUUUGCAGCUUAACUGUAAAAAUGCCGUUGAAACUGUCGGACUUGAGUGUAAAUGAGGUAGGCGGAAUGCGUGGUGUAGCGGUGAAAUGCAUAGAUAUCACGCAGAACUCCGAUUGCGAAGGCAGCUUACUAAGCUACAACUGACACUGAAGCACGAAAGCGUGGGGAUCAAACAGAAUUAGAUACCCGAGUAGUCC